rnacentral:rRNA from 1 species
GAUGAACGCUGGCGGCGUGCCUAAUACAUGCAAGUCGAGCGAACAGACGAGGAGCUUGCUCCUCUGACGUUAGCGGCGGACGGGUGAGUAACACGUGGAUAACCUACCUAUAAGACUGGGAUAACUUCGGGAAACCGGAGCUACUACCGGAUAAUAUAUUGAACCGCAUGGUUCAAUAGUGAAAGACGGUUUUGCUGUCACUUAUAGAUGGAUCCGCGCCGCAUUAGCUAGUUGGUAAGGUGACGGCUUACCAAGGCAACGAUGCGUAGCCGACCUGAGAGGGUGAUCGGCCACACUGGAACUGAGACACGGUCCAGACUCCUACGGGAGGCAGCAGUAGGGAAUCUUCCGCAAUGGGCGAAAGCCUGACGGAGCAACGCCGCGUGAGUGAUGAAGGUCUUCGGAUCGUAAAACUCUGCUAUUAGGGAAGAACAAAUGUGUAAGUAACUAUGCACGUCUUGACGGUACCUAAUCAGAAAGCCACGGCUAACUACGUG